rnacentral:rRNA from 1 species
UACGUAGGGGGCAAGCGUUGUCCGGAUUCAUUGGGCGUAAAGGGUGCGUAGGCGGCGGGGUAAGUCUGAUGUGAAAUCCCGGGGCUCAACCCCGGAACUGCAUUGGAUACUGCUCUGCUUGAGUACUGGAGAGGAGACUGGAAUUUACGGUGUAGCAGUGAAAUGCGUAGAUAUCGUAAGGAAGACCAGUGGCGAAGGCGAGUCUCUGGACAGUUACUGACGCUGAGGCACGAAGGCUAGGGGAGCAAACGGG